rnacentral:rRNA from 1 species
CCUGGCGGCCGUAGCGCGGUGGUCCCACCUGACCCCAUGCCGAACUCAGAAGUGAAACGCCGUAGCGCCGAUGGUAGUGUGGGGUCUCCCCAUG